AGUGAACGCUGGCGGUAGGCCUAACACAUGCAAGUCGAACGGCAGCACAGGAGAGCUUGCUCUCUAGGUGGCGAGUGGCGGACGGGUGAGGAAUACAUCGGAAUCUGCCCAGUCGUGGGGGAUAACGUAGGGAAACUUACGCUAAUACCGCAUACGACCUUCGGGUGAAAGAGGGGGAUCGCAAGACCUCUCGCGAUUGGAUGAGCCGAUGUCGGAUUAGCUAGUUAGCGGGGUAAAGGCCCACCAAGGCGACGAUCCGUAGCUGGUCUGAGAGGAUGAUCAGCCACACUGGAACUGAGACACGGUCCAGACUCCUACGGGAGGCAGCAGUGGGGAAUGUUGGACAAUGGGCGCAAGCCUGAUCCAGCCAUACCGCGUGGGUGAAGAAGGCCUUCGGGUUGUAAAGCCCUUUUGUUGGGAAAGAAAUCUUUCAGGCUAAUACCCUGGGAGGAUGACGGUACCCAAAGAAUAAGCACCGGCUAACUUCGUG
rnacentral:rRNA from 1 species